UGGCGUCGUGGUUGAGUGGUAAGGACACUUGUCUCACACCCUGGAGUCCCGAGUUCGAUCCCUGGUCGAGCUAA